rnacentral:rRNA from 1 species
AACCUGGUUGAUCCUGCCAGUAGUCAUAUGCUUGUCUCAAAGACUAAGCCAUGCAUGUCUAAGUAUAAGUAUUAUACAGCGAAACUGCGAAUGGCUCAUUAAAACAGUUAUAAUUUAUUUGAUAAUCGAAUUUACAUGGAUAACCGUGGUAAUUCUAGAGCUAAUACAUGCUGGUAGGCCCGACUUUUUGGAAGGGCGGUAUUUAUUAGAUAACAAACCAAUAUUCCUCUGGUCUAUUGUGGUGAAUCAUAAUAACUGAUCGAAUCGCAAGGUUUUUAACCGCGAUAAGUCAUUCAAGUUUCUGCCCCAUCAGCUUUCGAUGGUAGUGUAUUGGACUACCAUGGCUUUUACGGGUAACGGAGGAUAAGGGUUCGAUUCCGGAGAGGGAGCCUGAGAAACGGCUACCACAUCUAAGGAAGGCAGCAGGCGCGUAAAUUACCCAAUCCUGACUCAGGGAGGUAGUGA